UGAAUACGAGACGCUAAGGCGUCGAAGUAGUGUAUGUCAUACUUCCAAGAAAAGCUUGCACUGUCAUAGAUAAAAAACGCCUGUACCAUAACCGACACAGGUGGGUUGGUAGAGUAUACUAAGGGGCGCGAGAUAACCCUCUCUAAGGAACUCGGCAAAAUAACUCCGUAACUUCGGGAGAAGGAGUGCCUUAUUCGUAAGGUUGCAAUAACAAGAUCCAAGCAACUGUUUAUCAAAAACACAGGUCUCCGCUAAGUCGUAAGACGAUGUAUGGGGGCUGACGCCUGCCCAGUGCCAGAAGGUUAAAGAAGUUGGUUAGCAAUUGCGAAGCUGAUAACUGAAGCCCUGGUGAACGGCGGCCGUAACUAUAACGGUCCUAAGGUAGCGAAAUUCCUUGUCGGGUAAGUUCCGACCCGCACGAAAGGCGUAAUGAUUUGGAUACUGUCUCGGAGAGGGGCUCGGUGAAAUAGACUUGUCUGUGAAGAUGCGGACUACCUGCACCAGGACAGAAAGACCCUAUGAAGCUUUACUGUAACUUGAAAUUGAAAUUGGACUUUAUUCGCGCAGUAUAGGUGGGAGGCGUUGAUUAUAAUCUUGUGGGAUUAUUGGAGCCAUCAGUGAGAUACCACUCUUGUAAUGUUAGAUUUCUAACUUUGAAUCAUUAUCUGGUCAAAGAACAGUUUCAGGCGGGCAGUUUGACUGGGGCGGUCGCCUCCUAAACGGUAACGGAGGCGUACAAAGGUUUCCUCUGAACGGUUAGAAAUCGUAUCUAGAGUGUAAAGGCAUAAGGAAGCUUGACUGUGAGACCUACAAGUCGAGCAGGGACGAAAGUCGGUCUUAGUGAUCUGACGGUACUGAGUGGAAAGGCCGUCACUCAACGGAUAAAAGUUACUCUAAGGAUAACAGGCUGAUCUCCCCCAAGAGUUCACAUCGACGGGGAGGUUUGGCACCUCGAUGUCGGCUCAUCGCAUCCUGGGGCGGUAGUACGUCCCAAGGGUUGGGCUGUUCGCCCAUGAGAGCGGUACGCGAGCUGGGUUCAGAACGUCGUGAGACAGUUCGGUCCAUACCCGGUGUAGGCGUUAGAAUAUUGAGAGGAGCCUUCUUUAGUACGAGAGGACCGAGAAGGACAUACCUCUGGUGUACCAGUUAUCGUGCCAACGGUAAACGCUGGGUAGCUAUGUAUGGAGUGGAUAACCGCUGAAAGCAUCUAAGUGGGAAGCCCACCUCAAGAUAAG
rnacentral:rRNA from 1 species